rfam:Loxodonta africana unplaced genomic scaffold scaffold_22, whole genome shotgun sequence.
GCAGUGGUGGUUCAGUGGUAGAAUUUUCACUCUUCAUGUGGGAGACCCACGUUCGAUUCCCGGCCAGUGCA